UUUAUAGGAUGAUUUUGUUAGGAUUUGGUUAGAUUUGUAGUUAAAUUCUAUUUGGAUAAGAAUUAAUAUUUAAAUCUGUUUGAGAUAAAUUAAGAUUUAAAUAUUAAUUAGAGGAUAAAGCUAACUAGAUUAGGAUUAAUAUUUAAAUCUAUUAGAGAUUGAUUAAGAUAGAUUUAAAUAUUAAUUAAAGUAUGAAUUCUAAAUAUAUUAGGAUUGGGGUACGUUUUAAGUUGAGCAUUAUAAAUAAGCAUUGUGGCUCUCUUUUUUGGGAGUAGUACAGCUGGAACCAUUGGGGUGUCGUACGAGAGAGAGAAAAAGAGAGAGUGUUAUUUUAGUGCACCUUGUGCACGGGUGCACGCGGAGAGGUCUUCUUUGUGGGUUUAUAGAAGACGAGAGAAGGGUAGAAGAGAUUCAAGAAAGAGAGCUCGGGUUGUAGCUACUCUGUGCAGAAGAGGAGUUAGGUAUAAUCUUCUCUUAUUUAAUGAAUCUUAUUUUACCUGCAUAUUUUUUUCUUUUAUGAUUGUAUCAGCUUUUGCUGAGGAGACGGGUUUAUGGUAAAAAUCCGAUUUGACGUUUCCGUUGCGGAAUCCUAACAAUCGAUACCGGAUCCACAGCAGUCGGUAUCGGAGCGGAUUGCUGAUUCACGAGAUCCGGUACCGGGGCGAAUACCGGAUUCCCAACAAGUGGUAUCAGAGCCGAAGGUUACCGAUCUGCGGGAGAGAUCGACGGAGAUGGCCACGAAAUUCGAAAUCGAGAAGUUCGACGGCAAGAACAAUUUCGGAUUAUGGCAAAUUAAAGUACGAGCAAUCCUCGUACAGUAAGAGUUAGACGAGACGUUGAACGGGAAGGAGGCAAAGCCGGCGGACGUCACGGAUGCGGCAUGGACGAAGAUGGAGCGGAAGGCGUUGAGUACGCUUCAUCUAUCAUUAGCAGAUGAGGUUCUUUACAAUGUAGCCGGCGAGAUGACACCGGCGAAAUUGUGGAAGAAAUUGGAAGAUCUGUACACAACCAAAUCCCUGACGAACAGAUUGUAUCUGAAGCAGCGACUGUUUACGUUGCGGAUGCAAGAAGCGGCGAGCCUACAUGAUCAUCUAAAUGAGUUCAACAAGGUGGUGGCCCAGUUGACCAGCAUCGGAGUCAAUCUGGAUGACGAAGACAAGGCGUUGAUCCUACUAUCUUCGCUACCGACGACAUAUGAGCAUCUGGUGACCACGUUGCUUUAUGGCAAGGAGUCCAUAAGCGUGGAGGCGGUCACGGCGGCGCUUCUCUCGAACGAGAUGCGGAAGAUGACUCAGGAGUCUGGCACGCAAAGUCAGGAUGUAGGACUGGUGGUGACUGCGAAGAAGGAGGCGAGAAUAUCGGCGACCAGAUAUCGACAGAAGAAACCGCUAUCUGAGGUAGAAUGCUUUUACUGUCACAGGAAGGGGCAUAUCAAGCGCAAUUGUCGAAAACUUCAGGAUGAUCCGAAGGAGUUAAAGUGACAGAAGGAGCAAACUGUCGUGAACCAGGACGAGACGGUAUCAGCGACGGCGCAGACAGCAGAGUCGGAGAUGAUCGAUUCUGAUGUGCUGUAUGCGGCGACCGGAGGUGCGAAAAUUUCGGACGAUGCGUGGGUGCUCGAUUCGGCGUGUUCUUUUCACGUAUGCUCGGAGAAGGAGUCUUUUGCCACCUAUAAGGCGAUCAAAGAUGGAAAGGCGCUGAUGGGGAACAGGACAGCGUGCAAAGUAUUGGGAGUCGGCAUGGUGAAAAUCCGAAUGCAUGAUGGGGUCGUGAGGACGCUGAGAGGUGUGCGGCAUGUUCCUGGAUUGAAGCGGAAUUUGAUCUCGUUAGGCGCAUUGGACUAUAAGGGUUGCGAUAUUUCGGCUUCAGGUGGAGCUAUAAGAGUCCGAAAGAAAGAUCGGAUCGUAUGCGAGGCGAACAAGCGUGGGAACUUAUAUGUUCUGAACGGGAGAACAGUCAGAAUGGGAGCGAAGACGAUUUGGGUUCCAAAAGUUCGCGGAGGUGCAGUCGCUCGAGGCGGAGUGACGGAUGCGGCGACAUCGAGCGAAGGAGACAAGCUCAAGGUGGAGCUUGCAUGGUGAGCUCGACGUAGCGGUUGAAAAUUACAAAUCAAACCAAGGUGGAGAAUGUUAAGAUUUGGUUAGAUUUGUAGUUAAAUCCUAUUUGGAUAAGAAUUAAUAUUUAAAUCUGUUUGAGAUAAAUUAAGAUUUAAAUAUUAAUUAGCGGAUAAACCUAACUAGAUUAGGAUUAAUAUUUAAAUCUAUUAGAGAUUGAUUAAGAUAGAUUUAGAUAUUAAUUAAAGUAUGAAUUCUAAAUAUAUUAGGAUUGGGAUACGUUUUAAGUUGAGCAUUAUAAAUAGGCAUUGUGGCUCUCUUUUUUGGGAGUAGUACGGCUGGAACCAUUGGGAUGUCGUACCAGAGAUAGAAAAAGCGAGAGAGAGUUAUUUUAAUGCACCUUGUGCACGGGUGCACGCAGAGAGGUCUUCUUUGUGGGUUUAUAGAAGACGAGAGAAGGGUAGAAGAGAUUCAAGAAAGAGGGCUCGGGUUGUAGCUACUCUGUGCAGAAGAGGAGUUAGGUGUAAUCUUCUCUUAUUUAAUGAAUCUUAUUUUACCUGCAUAUUUUUUUCUUUUAUAAUUAUAUCAGCUUUUGCUGAGGAGACGGGUUUAUUGUAAAAAUCCGAUUUGACGUUUCCGUUGCGGAAUCCCAACAAUCGAUAUCGAAUCCACAGCAGUCGGUAUCGGAGCGGGUUGCGGAUUCACGAGAUCCGGUACCGGGGCGAAUACCGGAUU
rnacentral:lncRNA from 1 species